GACCCCCAUAAGAGGUCCAGCCUGCCCAGUGACUCUGUUCAACGGCCGCGGUAUCCUAACCGUGCGAAGGUAGCGUAAUCACUUGUUCUUUAAUUGUGGACUAGUAUGAAUGGCACCACGAGGGUUAUACUGUCUCCUUUUUCUAAUCAGUGAAACUAAUCUCCCCGUGAAGAAGCGAGGAUAUACCUAUAAGACGAGAAGACCCUAUGGAGCUUAAAACAUUAUAGCAGUUACCAAAUAAUAUUUAACUUCCUGAACAUUUACUUUUAAGGAAAUAUGACUACAAGUUUUUGGUUGGGGUGACCACGGAGUACAAAAUAACCUCCAUAUUGAAAGAAAUAUUUCUAAGCUAAAACCCACACGUUUAAGCAUCAGCACACUGACAUUCAUUGACCCAAUAUAAUUGAGCAACGAACCAAGUUACCCUAGGGAUAACAGCGCAAUCCACUUUAAGAGCUCCUAUCGACAAGUGGGUUUACGACCUCGAUGUUGGAUCAGGGUAUCCCAGUGGUGCAGCCGCUACUAAAGGUUCGUUUGUUCAACGAUUAAAACCCUACGUGAUCUGAGUUCA
rnacentral:rRNA from 1 species